UUUUUCUUUUGCUAGGUUGUGAACUACCACUUUUGGAAUAAGUGAAAUACCUGCCAGGAAUUACAAUUCACAGCUUGGAAUUUGAAGGCAAACACAUGUCAUUUUUAUAUUAUUAUCCUACAACCACAUACAAACUGAAGUCAGAGCAACAAAGUGAAUUUACAAGUUUCCCUCAAUUUCCUAUGCUUUGGAUCACGUAUAGCAUAAUCUUGAAGUGAGGUGGCUAUGUGACAGGAAAAAGCAAUGGAAAAUAAAGAAAUAAUUUUAAAAGAUCUUUGAAAAAAUCUUAAAACAGAAUGUAGGUAAAAGUUAAUCUGGAGUAGAUAUCAAAAAGAAAGUGAAGGAUAUCCCAAUAGACAUGAAAUGAAAAAAUGAGGUUAUAAACAUUAAUGUGUUUGGCAGAAACAACCAAAAGUUUUUUCUGUAGAAAUCAUAAUUCCCUCAAUUUUUUUCUCCAGAAUGCAAAUAAGCAUUUAAUUUAAUCCAACAACUUGUAGCUCAAAAUAGUGCCUUUUGGAUGAAAAUUAUUCAAAUAAAUUAUUUAAAAUUGCAAUAACAUUUAACACAUGUAAAUGCUAUUGCCAGAAGAGUCACAGAAAUGAGGCUCUAUCUUUAGGUUGAGGGAGGGAACCUACCAGAAGUAUUUCACUGAUCGUGGGUAUAACGUCCCCACAGGAAAUUCACCAGUCCCUCACAGCAUUCUUACUUGUGCAAUAGCAGCCGUUUUGCAGAUAUAUCAAUCCCAAGAUCAUAAUCUUCUUUUGUGCACGUCAUCUUAAAAGCUGACUUAUAAACAUUGAAAUAGCUCUCUCAAUACCUCUGGGAAAUCACUAUAAUGUCCAUUUCAAGAUGAUAAAUACAGACAGAGAUAAGUUUGUAACCCAAGAAUGAAUGGGGAGAGAGAGGAGAGCAGAAUGGAAUGCAAAAACAUCAAAUUUCCAGCCUUCUGUACACAGUGUUCUUAUCUCCAAAAAAACAUUCUAAUAAACACCUGAAUCAUUAGAAUGGUCUCCGAAAGAGCAGAACACUGGCUUCAAUUAACACUAUUAGAAUAUUUGAAUUACUUCCUAAAACAUUAAAUUGAAAAAUGAGAACCAACAGUACCACAUUAGAAAAAUAUUAAAGAUUGUCCAAAAUUUACCUUUUAACAAAAAUAUUUUAAAGUUAAUGUGUGUGGGCACUUAAAAAUACAUUUGCACAUACACAUGCACACAUACAAAAUUCUUCACUGUGAUUAUGCAACUUACCUAAUCUAUUUCUUGAAGACAAAGGGAAACAGAAAUACAAUAUAACUUGGAACAAGUUUUGAAGAAUCCCAGUAAUCUAGCCUAAGUUUAAAUGCUUGCUAUUUGACUGAUUUUUGAAAAAUCUUGAGAGUCGGAACAAAGCUUCUAAAAGAAUCUGAAUAAAGCAACACUAACUGUCUUGAAAGGUCUACUUUUAGUGGCAGCAGUCAUUUUAAUGGCAUCUCUAAAGAGAAUAAUGACAAACAGAGCCAGAGGACUUUAUUGCUGUAUUUACCCAUCUACUCCAAUUUCCCUUUAUCUACAAAAUGUAUUUCAAAUCCGUCUAUCUGCUGUGCUUCCACCUUGUUUUAAACCACUGCACUGAUUUAGGUAUCCUAUUUGGAUGAUUUCCAAUAGUCUCCCAACUAGUCAAACUUACUGCUUCUACUCUUACCCCACCUCAACCUACUCUUCACAGAAAGCCAGCAUGAUCUUUUAAAAUGAAAAUAUAAUCACAUCACCCCCUUUCCUUCCUUAUACUUUUCAUCGUGACUGUGGAAAGACCAAAAGGCUAGACAUACGUUAUAAACCUUGCCUGAUACAGCCCUUGCCUAUUUUUUUAGCCUCACUUCUGCCAUUACCACUCAGACCCUCUGGGGUCUUAUAACUCUGGCCGUUUUCCAGCUCCUCAAAUGUAUUAAUCUCUUCCCAACUCAGAUGCUUUAAUAUGCUGUUCCCUCUUCCUGAAAAAUGUUGUCCACCACACAACUCUUCUUUUUGCUAACUCCUAGUCAGCCUUUAUGUUUUAAUGUCAAUAUUAUUUCCUCAGAAAGACCUUCCCUGAUUGCCAAACUAAUUUAGAUUCCCCUACUGCUUUCUUUUACAGCAACUAUUUUUCCCCCUCAUAUAUUUUCAUUCAUUCAUCCAUGGAGGUAGGCAUGCAUUAAUUCAACAACUAUUGCUGAGCACCUACUGUGCACUAAGCACUGUUGUAAGUGCCAGAGAGGCAUGUUCCAAGCUCUUUUAGAGCCUAUAUUAGCUGAAAAUUGUAAUGAUAUAUUUAUUUGUGUGUUGACUUAAUGUCUUUUCUUUAAGACUGUCAGCUUUAUGAGACCAAAUCAUACAAAAGGCAGAGGUCAGAACUUGCUAAAUUUUUCAUAAUUCCUUAGUGACAGAGGUAGCCCUAGAAGCCAGUCCAAAAUAGCUGAGUGCCUUCCUCAUUUUUAGGAACAUAUGGAACGGUAGGUGUGGCAAAGACCACUGACUGUUCUCCUCUUCCUGGCACGCAGCUCUACUACAUUUCCCAGACUCCUUUGCAGUGAAGUCAUGUGGUUAAGUUGUAGCCAAUGGGCUGUGAACAAAGGUGAUACGAGGUACUUCUAGGCGCCUGCUCCUGUAAAGCUGCCCUUUUUCUAUGCCAUUUUUCCCCCUACUGGUGGCUAGAAUCUGAGGAAUUCUGUGGUCCAAGAGGUUGGCUGAGCUUUGAGAUGAAAUGGGCCUGGUUCUGUGAAUCAUCACAUAGAGGAAAGCCACCUGCUGAUCAGGACCACCCAUCCUGGACUGAGUUCUAGAAAAGACGUUGCAGGAAACUGAAGAGACUCCCUAUUUACUUCAAUAAUAUUCAUAGGGUGUGCUUGUUCAAAAUUCUGAUCAAGGAACCCCUCUCCAUUUCAUCCACCUGUGAGUGUAGUGUAUACACACCAUCUGUAUUACCAGAGCCCUUCUUGAGAUUUAUUCUCUAUCUUCUAUAUGGAUUUAUACAUAUCUGUAGGUUUUUCUAUGAAUCGAGAUAUCUAGAAUGGAAAGGAAUACUACUAAAGUUAAUAUUCCUUCAACAAAGCCUAAAUUUUCCUCUUCCCUUAGUCAAUAGUAAUUCUCCAUUACCUGCCCACAUUACAAGGUGGGACGAAUAACAUUCUCAGCUUUUGCCAACUUCAUGAACAGGCUCAAAAACCCAUACAAAAAUCUUAUUAAUAAUAAGUAACACUGCCCUAGUGGGUAUAUGCAGGUUUCACUAUAAGUGUUUAAUAUUGAGGAUAAUGAGCACCUUUAAAAUCACACUAUUUAUUUAACAAAGUCCUCCACCUAGCAUGAAAAUUGCCAAAGGUUUUCCAGAAUCAGAAUAGACAGGCUGGAGCCUGACUUUGUGAAAAUCCUUAUUCCUAAGAUGACAACAACUACAUUAUGUUGAAAAGCUAUGGAGUGAAAAAAUGACCUUGAGAAACUUAGGAAAACAUUGAGUUUUCUUCCAGUGUUAAAGUGAUCAUUACGAUCAUUAUUAAAGAUUCAGUUUGUCGUUACCUUACAAAUGUGCACUAAGGACUCCUAAAGGGCAACAAUUGAAAGCAUGAAUUCACUAUUUUGAAAAUAAAUUCAAAUACUUAGUAUACAUUAAAAUAUUUUCUUCAGUACAGGGAACAUUAGAAAGAAUGUGAUGAGCUGUUUAGAAUAUUAUGUCGUCUUUUCAUAUUUAUUGUAAUAAUGGAUUCAUUGUGCAAAGGUCUCAACAUUCUGGCAGGCUGCAGCAAUACUAGGAAACGCUAAUGCCAGUUACAUUUUAUAUCCAUAUUAGGCUGAAGGAAAAAGACUGGUUGAAAUGAACUAAAAAAUAUGUUCUUCUUUUGCUCAAAAAAUUUUUUAAGCCUCAGUGCUGUUCUUUUCAGAUUAUAAAGUGAGGUGCCAAAUUGUAUAUUUCUCAGAUAUUCUUGAUGAUUAAAAAUAUACAAAUCAACAGUGACUAACCCAAACUUGUAACUCAAAAAUAGAGAUGUUUAAGUGACUACAAAUCCUUGGAGAGCCUUUUGACUCCCUAGUAAGAUUUAAAUGUUUUAAUGUCUGUAAUCCCAGAAAGCCUUUUAAACUAAUGAGUGUGUUUAAACUGGAAUCUUUUAAAAGUUAUUUUACUAGCUGCUAUGCAAUUUUAUUCUCUAUGUACCUCAACUAAUAAACAUAAACAUUACAAGUAGUCAUAAAUAAUUAACAUUCACAAAAACAUCCUCUUGAUGAUAAUACAGUCGACUCCUACAUGUUCCAUGAAUUAUUCAGUUUUGUGGCUUUUUGGCUAUCUCCUUUAUUUCUGCAGUUUCACUCUCUCUAUAUGUACUUCCACUACUUACUAAGAAUUCCACUAGAGGGUGAAUAGGACAAUAAAAGGAUAUAAGUGGGCCACGAUCUGGUGAGGGAAGCUUGAAACUACUUACUCAAAAGAGAUUUAGCUUAUUUUUUUUAUUUAAAAUAUCAAUGUUAUUCCCAUUUUCUAUUAUCCCUCACAAUUACAUUGGCCAUGAUAAGAGUGAUAGAUAAUUUAGAGAGAACAACAUAAUAUACAGCUGAAGAAAAAUGUAAUUUUUGAUGAAUUAUACAGUUUUGUUCUAGCCGGGUAGAUCUAGAUUAUAUUAUAUAGCAGGAGCUUAUAAUUUUAUAGGUAUAAAAGAUGAUGCUUAAUAAUGUAUGGAUAUUUAACAAAUCAUGUAAUUAAGGAAUAUACAAUCUGAUUGCUGUGAAUUACAUAAUGAUAAUUUUAUUAAGAUUUCAUGUUGGCAUCUACCCUCAAAAUGUGGAGCAGAAAACAUAAUCUCAGCUUUUAAAAAAGGCAGUUUCUAUCAUAUAAUCUGAAAUAUGUUUAAGGUUAAAAUUGGGAUACUGGUCAGAUGCUUCUGACCAAGAGCCUAGACAAGGAAACUGGAUCUUGGGAUUUUGUUGCCAACAUUUCUGGUUUACCCAAUGAAUAUAUUCUCAAAACACCUGCAGAGAAUAAUAAAGAAUAAACAGAUUUCCUGAAAAUCAUGAAAUAUGUGGAAUUGAAGGUAAAAUCAGAAACAGGCUAAUUAACACAUUGCUUAUGAUUCUUUUGUCAUAUUGUGUUUAAGCCCAGGAACUGGGGAUAGGCUGCUGCCAUAAUUUAAGAGUGAUUCUUGUAGACUCUUAUCACAAAAUAAGAAUGUGCUAAUGCAAAUCACAUACUUUUUAAUGAGUGUUAAUUUUGAAAGUUAAACUAACAUCAUGCAUUCUUCUUUUAUUAAGAUUUCAAAAUAUUUGGGUAUGUGCUUUACCACCAUGGCUAAGAACCCAUGGGCUCUAAUUAUAAUUAAAAGCAGCAAUGGUUAACACAGGAGAGGCCCUGAGGAACCAAGAGCCAUGACACAUCUUGCCACUCUUAGGUACAAAGUCACUGUACCCACUAAAGACUGGCCAUGUCUCCAGAAUGUUACCAGAAAUAGUCGUCAAAUUCCUUUUUUUUGUUUGUUUCCAGUUAUACCUAAUACUCAGAGAUGUUUGCAGUAGCCUGCUGCUAAGUUAUGGCAUGCUAGUUACUCACAUGAAUUCCAGGUAGUGUUAGUUUGGGACAGGGCAGUGCUGCUGUGACAUUUCUGGGAGGGUCUGAAUUUCUGUAAGCAGAGAGAUUUCACACUGGAGCCAAGGCAGCAUGAUUCCCUGAGAAAGCCAGUCUGGGCCAGGUGCGGUGGCUCACGCCUGUAAUCCCAGCACUUUGGGAGGUCGAGGUGGACAGAUCAUGAGGUCAAGAGAUCGAGACCCCCCUAGCCAACAUGGUGAAAACCCAUCUCUACUAAAAAUACAAAAAUUAGCUGGGCGUGGUGGUGCGUGACCAUAAUCCCAGCUACUCGGGAGGCUAAGGCAGAAGAGUUGCUUGAACCAGGGAGUCGGAGGUCGCAGUGAGCCGAGAUCGCGCCACUGCAUUCCAGCCUGGCAACAGAGCGAGACUCCGUUGAAAGAAAAGAAAGAAAAGAAAGAAAGAAAGAAGGAAGGAAGGAAAGAAAGAAGGAAAGAAGGAAAGAAAGAAAGGAAGGAAGGAAGGAAGGAAAGCAACCCAGCCUGAAGUAAAGUGGAAUGUGAAAGUUGUUCUCCUCUACCAAGGUAGUAAGAUUGGGUAGUAAGAUGGCAUUCAAGAGCCUUAAGUAGUAAAGAAAAGUACUCUUCCUCAAAUCAGUGGGCUCCUUCUAAAGCCCAGAUAAUCCCAACAUGAAGGGUGGGAGUUUCUCAGAGACACCCAGCUUCCAGUUGGGCAACCUUUAAGGGGGGACCCCAGUGCAGCUCCCAAGUGCCUUAAUUCUUGUCAUCCUGAUGCCACAUUCAAUUUGGCUCUAGGAUGCCCUAGAGGGUUCCCAGAAUGCCUCAGUGGCUUCUCACAGACUCUCUGCUGCUUUGGGAAGAAUGUGGUGAGUCCUCAUUAGCAAGCUUCUGCCUACUGUAGCAGUACCUCAUAUCCAGUGAAUAAUCAAUGUAUAUUAAUUGAAAGGCAGCUAUAAAGUAGUUAAACAAGUUCUGAAUAUAGUACAAUCCUUAUAUAAUAAUGGUGCUGGGAAGGAUAUUAAUGCCUAUUUGGUGGGUUAUGCUGUGCCAUAACUGUUCUAUGUGACUGUUUUUCAGGGAUUACUUUUAAACUCUUGGCAUACAUGAAAGUCAGCACGCAUGUAACUUAAUUUAUGAAACUCAGCUCUCUGGCAAACAAUGCUUUCUAUCCUUGCUCUCUAUCUCUCUCCACCACUCAACUCCAAGCUGAAGUCCUUAUAUCAACUUAUUUACAUUAAAAUAAAAUAAAGAACCAAAUGGAGAAUUCCCCAGCUCUGUUUAUGCCUGAAACACAAUGUUUGGUUAUCUGGGCCUCAAUUUGAGACGCAAUGAUAUUCAAUAGGAGGGAUAGGUUGAAUCCAGGGAUUGGAGGAACUCCUCCAGAAAAGAAUCUCAUACUAUAAGUGGAUAGAUUGAUUAAAUGAAUUAUUGAUAUUGUUCCACCUGGAUAAAAGAAGAUUCAAGAAAAGUAUGAUUGUUGUCAAAUAUUUAAGGGGCUGUCAUAGGAAGAGAGACUAGGCCUGAUCGGCCAGGUUCCAGAGGGGGAAGGUUUAGCCUGGGUAAACGGAAUAAGUCUGUAAUAUUCAGAGUUGCUGUGAAACAUCUGGGGCUGCUGUGAUCAGUGGCCAGUUCCCAGUGCUGGAGAGGAGAAAUUUCCAGUAUUAAACUAAAUCAAUCAUAUGCUUCACUGAUAACACAGUACAUAGACAUUAUUCAUUAAAUGCUAGUUAUCACAUUAUUAAUAGUUAUAAUUAUUUUUAGGCAUGGGAUUUGGUAAGUCACUAAUAAGUUCUUGUAGAUCUUUGAGAUUCUAUGAUUCAAUAGAUAGUUAAGAUUAUUAUCUGUCUUACCCUUAUAUUCAUAUAUUAUCUACUCUGUUCUAGAAAUAUUCUAGAUAGAUUUUUAUUUUAAUAUUUAUUUUUACUAGUAGCAACAUUUAUUAUAAAAUAGCACAUCCGUUAUUUGAUUAAUAAUAAAGUCUUUACCCCAAGUUUAUAGAUAUGUAAAUUGAUGAUACCUGGUAAAAUUCAAAUGCCUUCCCCUCCCAAAAAAGCAAACAACAACAAACCAACCCAACAACAACAUCCGCCACUGCCAAUUAGUCCUUUCUAUGCAAUGAAAAGCAGCUAGAAGGCCAUAAGAAAAAAACAAACCUUUGCUUUUAGAAUAAACUUUUAAACUUUAACAUGAAAAUAGGGAACUAGCCAGUUCUGGGGUAGGCUAGAUCAAGGCUGGAAGGAAUAUAAACUUCAAAUUGGUUUUUAAAGAUGAAGCAAACAAUUUAGCUGGGCUUAGGUUCAAAUCAUGGGAGACAUUCUAGGCAGUUGGUUAAAGCAUAGCACCCAAUAGCAAGAGGCCUAGAAAGAUUGGUAGGACUAUCAAGGGGUAUCUGUACCUAGCAUGUGGUCUGAAUUACAGUUGCAUUCCAUAAAUGUCUAUAGGAUGAAUGAACAAAUAAGUGAACGAAUGAAUGUCUGUGAUUGGCACUGGAGGUCCUUGCCAUGGGCAUUAGGUAUUUUUGCUGACAAUGCAGUUCCUAUAAGAAUAGAGAAAGAGGGUAGGAAGGACAACAAGGGUCAGCUAUUGGACCUGGAGCAUCAAUACAGAGUAAAGCCAGAAGGACAAUUGUCUACAGACCAAUGAGGGAGAAUUGUUAAUCUAUGGAUGCCUGUCUUUCAGCCUGAGAGUGUUGAGGAAAAGGAGACAGAACUCAGAGGAGGGACAGGCAGGCAGGGAGUCAGUCACACCAUCCCAUAGCUGUUGCUGAGAGAGGUAAUGAAAUGGUCUGCAAGGUGCAAAUAGGAAGCUGCUGACAAAAUGGUGAUAAUCAUAUGAAAAUAUAAAAAGCAUUAUCAUCUCUGAUUGUCCAACUGUAGAUUAACAGUCAUUUCUGGCAGAGUUUGAAACUUAGAUCAGGAGAAAUUUGCAUCAAAGGCUUUUAUUGGAACUUUUGAAGUGCAAUCUUUUAUACCUGAAAAGAUAGUUUGUUUUUCAAGUAUUCACUGGGCUAGGCGAAAAUAAUCUCUGAACUAUUAUCCUAAUCCCAUCUCAGUAAAUCUCAGGGAAAUGUGUCCAAAUAAAAACAGAACAGAAGGUGAUGUUGCAACUUCUGCUGUUGUUAUCUGCCAGGCUGGCAGCUGAGCUUGCAGUCCCUCUUCAUUUCUAAAUAGAGAGAAGCACUAAGACUCCAUGGGAGCAGAAUAAGAAUAAGGAAAAUAAAGAAAUAAACAAACAAAAACACUGCCACCAAUUCUGAGUUUAAUUUAACUUGUAUUUCUUUCCUUCUGAGUCCUGGAGUAGGUCAGGAAGAGCUGUGUUUAUAGCUUGAACAUGAGCUAUAAUCGAAGUAGGCCCAUAAAAGCCUUUUGCUGAAGGAGAUUUUGCAGUACUAUGCCACUUAAUCAAUUCAGAGAAGUUUAGUUUGAGCAGUGCUUUGGGGUGUGAAGAAGGCUUGGAGGUGAGGUAUCUGACUAUCAUACUUAAAUAGGCCCCUCCCUCCUGCUCUAUCAAUAUUACCUGCAAUUCUAUUAUUUAUCCUUGUCUUCUUUUUUCAGUCCAUUCAUAUAGAAGCUUCAUGAAAGCAGGGCCCAGGCAAGAGGGUCUCAACCAGGAGCAAUUUUGCUGUUUCUCUCCAGAGGACACUUGGCAAUGUCUGGGGACAGUUUUGGUUGUCACAACUGGAGACAGGGUGAUGCUAUUUGGCAUCUUGUGGGAGGAAGGCAAGGAUGCUGCUAAGCAUGCCACAAAGCACAGGACAGCUGCCCACAACAAAGGAUGAUUUGCCUGAAAUGUCAAUGUGAAGAGGCUGACAAUCUCUGGUCUAAGGUGUAUCAGUAGUACCUAAAAUAAUGCCUGGGGCCAGGAGCAGUGGCUCACGCCUAUAAUCCCAACACUCUGGGAGGCCGAGGCAGGUGGAUCACCUGAGGUCAGGAGUUCGAGACCAGCCUGACCAACAGGAAGAAACCCCAUCUCUACUAAAAAUACAAAAUUAGCCGGACAUGGUGGCACAUGGCUGUAAUCCCAGCUACUCGGGAGGCUGAGGCUGGGGAAUCACUUGAACCCGGGAGGUGAAGGUUGCAGUGAGCCAAGAUGAUGCCAUUACACUCCAGCCUGGGCAGCAAGAGCGAAACUCCACUUCAAAAAACAAAACAAACAAACAAAAACAAUGCCUGGAAAACAGUAAGUGAUCAAUAAAUACUGAUGUAAAAUGUGAAUGUAUGCUAGGAUAAUUACUCGAACCUAUUUUCCUGAAUAGUGGAAUAUUGCUUUCAUUGUGGGCAUGAGUAUCAUAUUUUUCUAAUUUAUGAAUUCAGCAAUCAGAAAUGCUUAUGAAUUAAGGUGAUGGUAGCAUGUUCCCAUAUAGAAUAUAGAAAUAUAGGAACCAAGAUGUCCUCUGAGAAUUAAACUGUAAAUCAACACAUAAUGAAGUGAGCUAGAGUAUGCAAAGUCCCUUUAGGAAGAUAAAGAAUGAUGCCUAGGCAGGUCACACUUGAGUGUCAGUGUAGGGUACCAACCAGAAACAUGGUUGGUGGAGUUAGACUGCCUAGAUUCCAAUCUCAGCUCUGCCCUUUUCCAGACAGGUAAAUUAGUUAAAUAUCGUAUCUCAGUUUCCUCUUCUAUAACACGGAAAUAAUUAUAGCACUUGUCACAGAUUGCUGUGAGGAGUAAAGGAAAUAAUGUAUUUUAAAAAUUUAUUAAAUGUAAUGCCUAGUGCACAGUGAGCACUCAGUAAAUAUUAACCAUUAGUGACAAGACUUAACAAUAAUUCCACUUAGGGUAUUUGGAUACCUAAGAGAAUAAAGUGUUCAUCAGAAGCAUAGAAAAGGCAAGCAUCAGAAAGGGGAUUAAUACUUGCUCUCCUAACUUAUGCCAAGCAUUUUAUUAUGUGAUCCGUAUCCAUUACUUCAUUUAAUUUCUAGCUAAAGGAGGCUACGUAGUAAUCAAAGGACAGACAACGAUAAGAAGUAAUGCUGAGAUGCCUGGGACCUAUCUGACAAUGGACAAGCCUCACUCUUUCCAAUGUGAAGAGGAGAUGCCCAGGCAAAAAUGACAAUGACAAGUUCACAUGGAAAAGACUGUAAUGACAAAUUUACCUUUGCUAUUGAAAUAUAUGCUUAGCUCAGUGCUCUCAAAUAUUUGAGUGACCCAGCUAAUUGGCCUUAUUCUGACUGAAUCUUAAGAAACUCCCUGGUUCUAUUUCCCUUUCUAUGGAGAGUAUCCUUGUAACACUUACAUUUAUCACUACAGAAUUUAAUAAACUGCUUUGGGGUUUCAUAAGCUGGGAUAAUACAAAUGUACCUCUGAGAAAGAACUGUGUCUGUCUCUGCCCCAAAUCAAUAGGUCCAGGUCCUGCACUCUAACGCUCAGAGGAAAUGCUGCUAGAUGCCAGACUGUGGUGGUGAGGGUGACAGUGCUUUGUGGAGUGGGGACUAAGAGCUAAGCAAAUUUUUAGCCUAAUAGUAUCUGAGAGCCAAACGGAAUAGGCUUUAAUUAACUAACUUGCCAUAUUUACACAUGUAAGAAAUUCACUCAUUUAUAUAUAUUCUCCUUUUGGGUACUUUCCCAUCCAGUUCUGGGGAAGAAAUAGAUAUAUUUUUCCCAUAAUUUUCCCAUUUGGGCAGCAUGUUUCAGGCAGCAACAGUGGCUUUACACUUCUGAAGGAUCUGAUAAGAACUGUGAAGGGGGCAAUGAACUGCACUUAAUUAAAUCCUGGUUGCUAAAAGUAAAUAGCAGAGUAUGCCACUGACAGCAACAGACUGGCCCUGAAACAAAUUAUAUGUAGGGCUGAAGAUAUACCUAGUUUCUUUGCUCUUGGCACAACAUUAGGACAUAAUUCCAUCCAUUUCCUUUCUCUUGGAACAAUUAGGGAGCAAAUAUCAGCAAUUACGCAAGCAAGGUAUUAUAUAAGUACAGCAUUUAUUUAUUUAGAAACUCAGCCUUUUUGGAGGGUAUUAAGCAACUGGCAGGUGCCAACAAUUUUAUUCUCUCUUCUCUGGGGUCCUUUCAGAAGAAAUACCCUGGAAGUUCCAAUCAAUGACAGAGUCUCCUAUUAAGCAUCCAUUGAGCAUCAAUAUCUCCUACAGCAUUUCAAAACUGUCAGCAAACAGAUUACUAAAUUCAUUUUAACCAACACCUAUUAUCUGAAUUUUAUUCUGAAUAUUCUUACGGCAUAGUCACAAUUUUGGAUUCUGUAACUCAAUGACCUAAAAGCUGUAGGUCAGAAGGGAGAUGCUUUAAAAUAAGACAAAACAAGGCAAACUUAGAAAGAAGCAUUCUGUAUGGUUCUGUUCCUCAAAGGGUGAUCCAUGGGCUCCUGGGAGACCCUGAGACUCUUUCAGGGUAUCCAUAAAAUCAAUACACUCUUCAUCAUAAUGCUAACAUGUUACCAGCUUUAUUCACUGUGUUACCAUUUGCACUGAUGGUGCAAGAACAAUGAUGAGUAAAACUUUCAGCACCUCCACAAGAAUUGAGAGAGUUCUCUCAGACUUCACUAGUAAUUUUUAACUACAGGUUUUUUAAAAGUUUGUUUUACUUCAGGGUGUCCUUGAUGAAACAUUAAAAAUUACUAAUUUUCAGCCCAGCACUGUGGGAUUACAGUUUAUGCCUGUAAUCCUAGCACUUUGGGAGGCCGAGGCAGGAGGAUCACUUGAGGUCAGGAGUUCGAGACCAGCCUGAUCAAUGUGGUGAAACCCUGUCUCUACUAAAAAUACAAAAAUUAACUGGGCAUGGUGGCUGAGGCAGGAGAAUUGCUUGAACCCCGCAGGUGGAGGCUGCAGUGAGCUGAGAUCAUGCCGCUGCACUCCAGCCUGGGUGACAGAGUGAGACUUUGUCUCAAAAAAAAUUAAUUUUCUUAAAUAUCACCCUCAAAUAUAUGUCUUUUUAACAUUUUGUGUGAUGAAAUGGAAAGUAUACAUAAAGACUUGCUGCACACUGAAGAAUAUAUUGUGUGCACACACGUGAAACAUCUGUGCAACUGAUUGUGAGCUAGGCUACAUGUGUUUUUGUGGAACAUCAUUUUAAGUGAAAGAAGACUGACAGACAAACUAUGGUUAUUCAAUCUUGGAUAUUUCACAGGUUUUUUUUUUUAAUUGAAAAAAAAGAAUUAAGCUGUCACUUCAAGUAAAACAAAUGACAGUAUUUGUUGCCAGUGAUAAAAUUGGAGCUUUCUAGCAAAAAUUAGAAUUUUGGAAAACUUGCCUUUGUCUCCAUGAGCAUGACAGCUUCCCAGUACCUAAAAGACUUUUGAUUGAGAUAAAAGAUUGGUGAGAUCAAUGGUUAUAUUAACAAAAUUCGUGUUUUUGUUAUCGUUAAGUAAAAUGGGUCAAUAUUUGGAAGGCCUACGUAAGAUCUGUAAACCAAUAUCCUCCAAAUGAUCAAUGCAUGAUGUUAUAAAAUCAUACCUAAGUUAAGGAUAUAUAUGAAGUAUGAGACAGAUAAUGGAUUUUAAUGUAAUAAAUUAUGCAAAGUUUAUUAAUAUGAUUUAAGAUUCUACACUGCAACUCACCUUUAAGAAACAAUCACAUGUUCAAUGUAAGCUAGUACAGCUGUUAUGAAAAACAGUGUGGAGGUUCCUAUUAAAUAUAGAACUGCCAUAUGAUCCAGCAAUCCCACUAGUGGGUAUUUAUUCAAAGGAAAUGAAAUCUGUAGGUCAAAGAAAUAUCUGCAUUCCCAUAUUAAUUGCAGCAUUAUUUAAAACAGUUAAGAUGGGGAAUUAACCUAAGUGCACAUCCACAGAUAAGGGGAUUAAAAGUGUGUCAUAUAUACACAAUAGAAUACUAUUCAGCCUUUAAAAAGAAGGAAAUCUUGUCAUUUGCAACAACAUGGAUGAACCUGAGGGACAUUAUACUAAGUGAAAUAAGCCAGGCCCAGAGAGACAAAUACCACAUGAUCUCAAAUGUGGAAUCUAAAAAAGUUUAAUUCACAGAAAUGUAGAAUAGAAUGGUGGUUAGCAGAGGUUAGGGUGGGGAGUGGGGGGAUAUUGGUUGAAGGAUACAUUUCAGUUAGGAGGAAUAAAUCAUAAUGCUAACAUGUUACCAGAUUUAUUCACUGUGUUACCAUUUGCACUGAUGAUGCAAGAAUAAUGGUGAGUAAAAUUUUCAGCACAACGCAGUGACUAUAGUUAAUAACAAUGUAUUGUAUUCUCGAAAAUUGCUAAGAUAAUAGAUUUUAAGUGUUUUCACUACAAAAAAGGAGGUAGUGCAUAUGUUAGCUCAAUUUAGCCAUUCCACAAUGUCUACAUAUUUCAAAACAACAUUUUGUAUAUAGUAUACAAUUUAUAUUUGUUAAUUAAAUUUUUUUUAAAAGAAACAACCACUUUUUGAGUUUAGGUGCUAUAUAAAAGAAUAUCCACAAUUUUCUGAAAAGGCUAUGAAAAUGCUCUUGCCUUUUCUGACUACAUAUAUGUGUGAGACUGGAUUUUCUUCACAUACUUCAACCAAAACAACAUAUUGUAACAGAUCAAAUGCAGAAGCAAUUACGAGAAUUCAACAGUUCUUUAUUAAGCCAGACGUUAAAGAGAUUUGCAAAAAUGUGAAAACAUGCUGUCUUUCUUACUAAAUUUUUGUUUAUAAAUUAUAGUUUAUUUUUAAUAAAGUAUGGUAAUAUGUAAA